rnacentral:misc_RNA from 1 species
CAGCCGCGUAAUUCCAGCUCCAAUAGCGUAUAUUAAAGUUGUUGCAGUUAAAAAGCUCGUAGUUGAAUUUCGGGAUUGACGUGAUGGUCAUGCCUUAAGGGGUAUGAACUGUUAUUGUUGAUUUCUCACCUUCUGGAGAAACUUGAUGUCCUUUAUUGGGUGUCUUGCGGAUCCAGGACCUUUACCUUGAAAAAAUUAGAGUGUUUAAAGCAGGCAUUUUUGCUCGAAUACAUUAGCAUGGAAUAAUAGAAUAGGACGGCAUGGUUCUAUUUUGUUGGUUUCUAGGAUCACCGUAAUGAUUAAUAGGGAUAGUUGGGGGCAUUAGUAUUCAAUUGUCAGAGGUGAAAUUCUUGGAUUUAUUGAAGACUAACUACUGCGAAAGCAUUUGCCAAGGAUGUUUUCAUUAAUCAAGAACGAAAGUUAGGGGAUCGAAGACGAUCAGAUACCGUCGUAGUCUUAACCAUAAACUAUGCCGACUAGGAAUCAGACGAUGUUAAUUUUUUAAUGACUCGUUUGGCACCUUACG